GUCUACAGCCAUAUCACUUUGAACAAGUCAGAUCUCACAACCUAGGAAGGACCUGCCCCACUUAGUACUUGGAUGGGACAUCACCUAAGAACCCUGAAUGCUGUAGGUU
rnacentral:rRNA from 1 species